CCAGAGUCCAGACUCCCCGCCCUCACUCGCCACCCAAUAACAUAACACUCCCGGCGGCCGGCAUUUCCACUGACCAUUCAGAUUUCAGACUUUCGGUCUUCAAAGCCGAACCUCAAAUCUGAUCGGAACAACAACAGCAUUCGUUUAGUGCCGAGUGUCUGAGUGUUGACAGUUGACACGGGCCGGUGGCCGACCGACAGUCACUGCAUACACUCCUCAAGCGUCAAGACACCGCCUGUCCACCUGCACACGUCGUUCGACGAACUUAGCCGUCUCUUCAACGACAACGCCGAAAGGAAAGCUGAAACGGACUGCAUCCGUCAUAUAGUUCUUCGAGGUCGCCAACUAAUACUUAACAGCAACAGGUCAAUCGUUAAAGAUAUUAUUUAAAAUAUGUCAUCGUCAUCAAGGUACAGGGAUUCUGGUAAUCCAGAUUGCAAAAUAUAUGUUGGUGAUUUAGGAUCAUCUGCAUCCAAACAAGAUUUAGAAGAUGCUUUUUCAUAUUACGGUUCAAUUCGUAAUGUAUGGGUUGCCCGUAAUCCUCCUGGUUUUGCUUUUGUUGAAUUUGAAGAUCCAAGAGAUGCAGAAGAUGCAGUUAGAGGUUUAGAUGGAAGGAGCAUUUGUGGUAGACGAGUACGAGUUGAAUUGUCUAAUGCUGGAUCACGUAAAGGUGCUUAUCGGGGAGGCCCACCUCGUCGAGGACGUCCAUUCCAUCCUGAAGACAAAUGUUAUGAAUGUGGUGAUAGAGGACAUUAUGCCCGUGACUGUAGACGUUUUAAAGGAGGGCGACGCAGGAUGUUCGGCUGAGAGCGUCUCUUCUCGUAGUGUCGAUCGUCGUAGAGCUCUCAACCAAAAUAAUAUAUUUUGAUCUUCUACUACGAGCAAUGUGUGUUAGUCGUCGGACUACGGCGCAACUAUCUGUCUGUCUGCAUUUAUCGAUGUACUCAUCUACACUAGAACCCCAUCGAGCCCAACCAACCUAAUGAUUUUUAUUCUGAUGCUCUAAUUAGCUAUCGGUGAACGUACACAGAUAUUCAGAGACAGAAAGAGUUAUAAAUUAGAUCUACAUAACGCCACUGGCUGUCUACAUAGCAUUACCACCGUGUCAUUUUAGGAGAAUGUUGAACUUCGUUUUUUUAUGUCUUAUACUCCUUCUCGGUCUCGCUCACGGUCAUACAGCCGUAGUCGUCGUUCUCGUUCAGGUUCCAGAUCUCCUUCACGUUCCCGUUCAAGGUCUGCAUUAACUGGUCGUUCAGUUUCCAAGUCAAGAUCUCGCAGUCGAUAAGAAGAAUAUGCUGUAAUUUUGUAUUAAAGCUACAUCUUGAAUCAUGGAUGUUACGCUAAUUUGCAUGGAUCAAAUACAGACGACUUAACUACUGAGACCUAUCUACUAUAAUAUUUUUGAUUUAAGAUUUUAAAUAUCUUAUAAAUUGUAUUUUACUUUUUUUUUAGUUAGAACUGUAUAAUAGUAAAUAUUAAAAUUUCUCAGUAUAAAAAUAUUGUUUGCAAGUUAUUAUUAUUUCUUUUUCAAUUAGUUGUGUUUUUGUUUUUGCACCAAAUGUAUUGUACAUAUACUUUACAUAUUUUUGUAUUUAAAUAAUAUUUAAGGAAAUCAAAAAAAAAAUGGAUCAAACAUAAUUUCUUUCAGACUAAAAUAAUGUUAAUUUAAUCAAUUUAUGUGUUUUAAAAUAAUCUUGAAUCACUUAGUCGCUUAAUCUUCUUAUUUUUAGCCAAUUUCUACAUUGAUGCAUUAAAUAAGAUACAUUUUUAAUAUAUAAUAAAAUCCAUUUGAACAAAUAUUUUAUUGAUGGCAAACUUUUUUUGUUAUUGGAAGUAGAUGCUUGAGUUGUAUUUAAAGCUACAAUCAUCAACUAGUUUUUAUAUUGAAGACUAUUUUAGAACUUAAUCACUUGAUAUACUCAUUUUAAUCAUCGUUUCAAUAAAAUUGUGUGGUAUACAAAA